rnacentral:tRNA from 2 species
GGAGGCUUCGCCUAGCCCGGUCUAUGGCGCGUCACUGCUAAUGACGUUGGGGUCUACAAGCCCCUCGAGGGUUCGAAUCCCUCAGCCUCCG